UACAUGGGGUGCAAACGUUGCUCGGAAUUAUUGGGCGUAAAGCGCACGUAGGUGGUCUGUUAUGUCAGAUGUGAAAUCCCUCGGCUUAACCGAGGAACUGCCCUCCAAACUGCUUGGCUUGAGUCCGGGAGAGGUGAGUGGAAUUCCCAGUGUAGCGGUGAAAUGCGUAGAUAUUGGGAGGAACACCAGUGGCGAAGGCGGCUCACUGGACCGGAACUGACGCUGAGACGCGAAAGCGUGGGGAGCGAACAGG
rnacentral:rRNA from 1 species